rnacentral:rRNA from 1 species
UACGUAGGGUGCGAGCGUUAAUCGGAAUUACUGGGCGUAAAGCGUGCGUAGGCGGUUCGUUAAGUUCGUUGUGAAAGCCCCGGGCUCAACCUGGGAAUGGCAAUGGAAACUGGCGGGCUGGAGUAUGGCAGAGGGGGGUGGAAUUCCGCGUGUAGCAGUGAAAUGCGUAGAUAUGCGGAGGAACACCGAUGGCGAAGGCAAUCCCCUGGGCCUGCACUGACGCUCAUGCACGAAAGCGUGGGGAGCAAACAGG